rnacentral:tRNA from 1 species
GCGCCGGUAGCUCAGUUGGUAGAGCAAGGGACUCUUAAUCCCUGGGUCCACGGUUCGAGUCCGUGUCGGCGUAC